UUGCGAUCGUAGAGGGGCAGAAGGCAAGGUGAAACCCUAGUUUCACCAACUUCAUCAAAUUCAGUAGGAAUCUCAAUGAAAAUCGGAUGCAUGAACCUCAAUUUGCAAACAUCUAACCUUGUUCAGUAAAGUGGUAUGACAUAGAUGGGAAACAACGGGUCACAAGGAUAGCAUGGAAGACAACACCUCUAUGGAAAAAGGUUAUGUAUGUCGGACUUUCGAAGUGUUGAUAUAGAAAUAAAAUGAUUGAAUAAUGGAAGGUUAAUUGGGUGGAAGUAACUUAUGCGGUUAGAAUACGCUAUGGACGUUUUAGUUUAUACAAUAUUUUAUGCUUGGUCGCCAUCAUCUAC